rnacentral:rRNA from 1 species
UACGUAGGGUGCAAGCGUUAAUCGGAAUUACUGGGCGUAAAGCGUGCGCAGGCGGUUUUGUAAGUCCUGUCGUGAAAGCCCCGGGCUCAACCUGGGAAUUGCGAUGGAGACUGCAAGGCUAGAGUGUGUCAGAGGGGGGUAGAAUUCCACGUGUAGCAGUGAAAUGCGUAGAGAUGUGGAGGAACACCGAUGGCGAAGGCAGCCCCCUGGGUCAAGAUUGACGCUCAUGCACGAAAGCGUGGGGAGCAAAC